rnacentral:lncRNA from 1 species
GUCGACUGCCACUCUGGCUCCACCUAACAGCCCAGGUGGGGUGCGGUCAUGGACUCUGGGAUUGGGUGGGGGCUUCACCCUGGUUUUAGGCACCCAUCCUGGUGGGACCUCUCAACGGGUCCACAAUGGGUUACUUCCUUAUGUCCCCAUUAGGGAAGGACAUAUCCAUUCACCCAAUGGCCCAACACAUAUCUUUGGGCUACCUCUUGCUUCCUUCUUUCUCACCUGGACAGCCAUGUGGGGUUCCUCCCUGGUCCGCAUGUCUCCAGUCCUGCCCACUCCAGUCCAUUCCCGACACUCCUCAGAGAGGAGACCUGAUGGCAUCUCCCUGCCUGGGUCUACUGCUUGAAAACUAAAGGGAAGGUUGCAGCCCAGUCCUUGUGGAGAGGGGCUCACACGGUUCUUUAUCCAAUAUAGCUCUGUUUUCUGAGUAUAAAUGUAAUAAAUAAGGAACACAGGGAAGUACAGAAAAAUAGAAAGAGGAGGACUUCUCAUUUGGGCCCUGUGCAUUCAGAUAUGGCCACAUGACUUACUUUGGUGGAGGAGCUGUCAGUGGAGGUGAUGUGUGUCACUUCAGGCAGAAGCUUCCAGAACCAGUGCCUGAUUUUCCAUGCUCUUUUUUCCCCACUCUAAGAGUAUGUACGUGUGUAAUGUAGGCAAGACCUCUCGCUGGCAAAACCACCUGGAUGGAGGGUCCUCAGGCCACAUCCCCUGAUUAGCCUCCUGCCUCGGCCAGUUGGCUCUGAACAAAACAUAAUCUCGUUCCCGUGCAGACGCCAAUCCUGACCCAGCACAAGAGAAUGUGGAUGGCUCCAUUCAUGCCACUUCUCCUUCUGGCACAAUAACUCAUUCAUUGAGAAAAGUUCUGUUCUGUUACCGAGGAUCUUCCCAGCUGUCGAGGACACUGAGGUGGGCAAGACAGGCAAGGUCAGGUCCCACAUUAUGGAACUUACCUUCUAGGGGGACACGGACACACAGGUAAGUAAAAUAAUGCAUUAACUGCAGAUGGUGCUAAGAGCUUUGAGGAAGAAAACCAGGCAAUGGGUGUGUAGGGGCAACAGGAGAACAGAAAGGGUGGCCUGGGAGGUGAGGAGGUGACCUGAGCUGAGAAUGGAGGCAAGGAGCCAGCCACGUAAGGAGACUGGGAAGAGGCCCUGGGACACACUUGGCAUCCACGUGGAACAGACAGGGUCCGGUGUGUUGCUGGAGAGUCAUGAGUAAGGGCCUGGUGGAGGGUGGGGAACGAGAUUGGGCGGAGGCAGCCAGGGCAGAUGGUGGGGGCCAUGUGCGCAGUGGGACUUGACUCUGAGUCUUGUUGGGGAGUUCUCAGAGGGCUUAUAACGCCAGCGUGACCUGCUCUGACUUCCCUGUUUUACAGCUUGCUUUGGCUAUUGGUAGGCCACUCAACUGUAGGACAGCGAGAAAGAAGGGGAGAGAGAGACUGGUGACUUUGACGAGGCACUUGGAAAAUACUCCGGACAUAGAGCUGAUGAGAUUUGGAAACGAACUGCAUGCCGGAGGUGGGAGCCUUUCCACUCUGCGCUCCUUGGAGAAAGCCAUUUGGAAGGUGACUCCAACCAUAGAGACAGCUGUGCUUUAGAGGCUGGAGCAGAGUGUGUGUGUGCAUGAAGGAGCUGGGGAUGUUUGUAGCUUGCAAAAGUAAUCCAGGAGAAGACGUCAAACUUGCUGUUGAGGUUGUCACUGAAUAGCUUGAAAUUUCUCAGAAGACUAAAGGAAGGUGUGGGCUUUAUGUUUGUCAAAAUGGGAUGUAGGUGAAAAAGAUUGAAAAACAUAACAGGAAAAUCUCAUUUGCGGAUAUUAUGGGUUGAAUUGUGUCCCCUCAAAACAAGACACGGUGAAGUCCUAACCCCCAUUCCCUCAGAAUGUGACCUUAUUUGGAAAUAACGUCAUUGCAGAUGUAGUUGGUUAUUGUUAAGAUGAAGUCGUGCUGGAAUAGGGUGGGCCGCUAAUUCAUCGUGACUGGUGUCCUAAUAAGAAGACGGCCAAGUGAAGAGAGAGACACAGAGGGAACCUUGAGAAGGCGGAGGAUUGGAGAGGUGCAUCUGUAAGCCAAGGAAGGCCAAAGAUUGGCGGCAAACCACCAGAAGCUGGGAAGAGCCUUCUGUCACUGCUUCUGAAUUUGGAAGAGGUAAAUAGAGACUCUGGAUCGGUAAGAGUCAUCCUUUUCAAGGCGGCUAUGGCCACGUGGAGGAUCUAAUGGCUCAGCAGCCAGUGCUGGCGGUGUUAAGACGAGCGUGCAGGGAUGAUUAGGUGGUCCUGCUGGCUGCUGAAAAGACAUUUGGGCUUGACCUCCCACUCCCCCAUUUCUUGCUCAGACAUGUUUUCCAGGCUUCCCAUGAUUCUGUGAGCUACUAGCCCUUCUCUACUCGACUGGAGCCCAUUUCAACUCUUCGGAGCAUAGGGCCCUGACCAGUGCUUGACAACCUGUAAGUUUCCUUUGAGUUUUAAAGGAUGACCACUCUCUAUGCUUUUUAUCUUUAAUUACCAAUUACCAUUUAACCCAGAACCCACAGAGUGCCAAUUCUAAUCAGGGGGCCAUGCUCAGAGGAAGGCUACAGGUUGAUUCUCCCCAGGGUGGGAGGCUCACAGAAUGGGCAAAGGACCAGCUUUCUGACAUCAACAAGUAAGCCUUUGGGGCCACAGUCACGUGGGCUAAAGGGACUCCAGAGAUCAUCUCAUCCAAUCCCUUCCUUGCGUGUCAGGAAAAAUCAUGAAAGACUGAAAUGAGCAAAAGACAAUUACUGUGUCUUGUCUAGCGCGCCUUUUACAGCUCUGUAAAUUGUAGGAAACUGAUAAUGAAGCCGGGUACCUGAGGGUCACUGUAGCUAUUCAAUAAGAACAUGAGUGCCUUUUGACUUCUUCCCAACACAGACAUAAAUGAAUCUUGUCCAUUUGCUGUUUUCUUGUUUAAGUUGAGGGGCGACUCAGGGGUCGAAAAUUUGUGAGCUUGUUUUGCAGAAGAAUGAGAAGGCCUUUGGGGAGGUUGUGAUCACGGGAUGGCCAGCCCCCUGCAGCUGUUGACACCCAGAAGUCAGAUUGCUCAGGGGCUCACCAGGAGUGACCCCUUUGUUUCCCCAAAGCUCCUCCUGCCAAUCCGCUUAGCUCUAUAAAAACCCUCCUGCCUUCUUCUCUUAUUAAGGCAGAUUUGAGAGGUUCAGUACCAAUAAUAAUGCAAAUGAUUUUCUUGUCCCCAAAAAAGCAAAUUAAUUGUGUACAGUGGAAUGCAACUCAUUAUUG